UUUUAAAUUUAAUUCACGGGCUGUUGCAAAGUAGAGCAGUAAACAAAUGUGAACCAGAUGUUAAGGAGAUUUUUAAUGCAUGCACGAAUACAAGUCAAACACAGAUGAAAUACAAAUGCAUGCUGUGCUUUGUAUUCGACAGAGGUCUGGACGCUGUCGUUGGAUCCUCUCCCUUUGCCGCUGUGCUCACCAAAUGGGAGCACAAACAAUGGCGCAUGCAGCUACAGAUAUCCUUCAUUCUGUGAAAUAUGCCAGUAUCUGUGCUCUGUUAUGGAAAAGCGGCUCGUCAGACAGUAUACAGGACCGAGAAGAUUUGCGUUGGGACUGGUUGGAAGUGAGGAAACUGGACCCGUCAGCUGAUGCACCACUGGGAGACUGACACUGUGUCAACUAGAUUAAUCAGCGGCAAUAAUGCAAAGCACUGCAUAAUUCGGCCACUGAAGGUGCACGUACAGUCGAAAGAAUCCAUAUAAUUACUGAUCAACAGCGCCGUCAGUCGUCUGAGUGAACACCUCUGUAUUUAGGAAAGCGUGAAAUUAAAACUGCUGUUCCAUUUCCUGACCUGUCCAGGGAGUAGCCUGCCUUCAGCCCAGUGACAGAGGGACUGCCCCCCCCCAACCCUUAACAGAAAAGGCAGUUUGGCUAAUGGAUGGAUGGCUGUUCAAUUUUAUGCUGAUUCAUCCUGCAGGAUUAACUGGACUCGUUUCAAAGUUGCAAUUUGGUGUUGAAAUAGCUCAUAAUAGAUGAUUUACAUGUUGUUUUGGGGAAAUGGUAAAACUGUGGUUUUACAACAAUGUGUUACAAUCUCACUAACCCACCGAAAAACAAAAUGGCUGAACUACGAACUAAACAGCUGCUAAGGCCGAGGCAGACUAACAAAGUUUGUAGAAACUGGACUAGACUUCAACCAACCAAAUAAGAAAUAAUUGAAUAUUUAAUUUAUUGAAGCAAAAAUAUAAAGAAAAAGUACAAAAUCAACAUAAACAAUGCAUUAAAGCAACU